rnacentral:pre_miRNA from 1 species
CAACUACUCCCUCUGUCCCAAAUUUCUUGUCUUAGAUUUGUCUAGAUACGAAUGUAUCUAAUACUAAAAUGUGACUUGAUACAUCCGUAUCUAGACAAAUCUAAUACAAGAAUUUUGGGACGGAGGGAGUACUUU